GUCCUCGUAGCUUAACGGAUAAAGCGUUGGCCUCCGAAGCCAAAGACUAGAGGUUCGAUUCCUCUCGGGGACG
rnacentral:tRNA from 1 species